UGCGCCGAUCGCCUUGAGUUUGAUCAUGGCUCAGAACGAACGCUGGCGGCGUGGAUAAGACAUGCAAGUCGAGCGAGAUUUUUUCUUGUAGCAAUACAGGGAAAAGUCUAGCGGCGAACGGGUGCUUAACACGUGGGCAAUCUGCCAAGAAGUGGGGGAUAGCUCGCCGAAAGGCGAAUUGAUACCGCAUGUGAUCAGAGUGGACAUCCAUUCAAAAUCAAAGUCGGGGCAACCUGACGCUUCUUGAGGAGCCCGCGGCCUAUCAGCUAGUUGGUGAGGUAACGGCCCACCAAGGCUUAGACGGGUAGCUGGUCUGAGAGGACGACCAGCCACACUGGGACUGAGACACGGCCCAGACACCUACGGGUGGCAGCAGUCGAGAAUUUUUCUCAAUGGGGGAAACCCUGAAGGAGCGACGCCGCGUGGAGGAUGAAGGUCUUCGGAUUGUAAACUCCUGUCAUUGGGGAACAAUGCGUAAAUAUUAACUGUAUUUGCGUUGAUAGUACCCGAAGAGGAAGAGACGGCUAACUCUGUGCCAGCAGCCGCGGUAAUACAGAGGUCUCAAGCGUUGUUCGGAUUCAUUGGGCGUAAAGGGUGCGUAGGCGGCGCGGUAAGUCGGGUGUGAAAUCUCGGAGCUUAACUCCGAAACUGCAUUCGAUACUGCCGUGCUUGANGACUGGAGAGGAGACUGGAAUUUACNGUGUAGCGGUGAAAUGCGUAGAUAUCGUAAGGAAGACCAGUGGCGAAGGCGGGUCCCUGA
rnacentral:rRNA from 1 species